rnacentral:rRNA from 1 species
UACGGGGGGGGGCAAGCGUUGUUCGGAAUUACUGGGCGUAAAGGGCUCGUAGGUGGCCAACUAAGUCCGACGUGAAAUCCCCAGGCUUAACCUGGGAACUGCAUCCGAUACUGGAUGGCUUGAAUCCGGGAGAGGGAUGCAGAAUUCCAGGUGUAGCGGUGAAAAUGCGUAGAUAUCUGGAGGAAUACCGGUGGCGAAGGCGGCAUCCUGGACCGGCAUUGACGCUGAUGAGCGAAAAGCUAGGGGGAGCAAAACGGGG